AUUCCAAAAGGGCAUCUUUCUACCUGCAGCUUCUUCUGCAGUUUCAAGGAAAGAACUCUAUAAAAACUUCAGCACAAAACAGAAAUUGUACAAUGGAAAGAAUAUUAGCCUACACAGUGGUCAACAAUCCAGGCCUCUAGGACAAUCUCAACCAUGAUCUUGCUAUUGCAAGAAGAUGCAGAUAGUAGCAAGGCCAUACGAGAUGGCCCAGAAGCCAGAGAUAGUCUCUGAGUCACAGUAUGGGAGAAGGCUGCUAACUGUCUCACCGUGGAGUAUUGGAGAUAAAGGAUCAAGAAGAGAGAGAGUCUAUUUCCUGGAGACCGCAG
rnacentral:lncRNA from 1 species